AGUACUAUAUAUAUCGAGGGGUUCAAACGGGAAGAAGUUACAGGCCUAAACGAAUUCAUUAUACAAAAUCGCAAAAGAGGAAGUGAUUUAGUGAAAGUGCUAAAAUCAAGUUGCUAAUCAAGGGCUGGAAACAGUUGAAGAAGAGCAGCCUUUAGAAAGUAAACUGGUAUAUAUGCAAGCCAUUUUCAUUGCUUAUUACAUUCUGAUCAAGAAUGAAAAUGGUUUUGAGUGAUUGACCAUAACAGAUUAGUCCAGAGACCUUCAGGUUUACUCAACAAACUGAUGGCUACACUAGUACAUUUCUCCUUGCCAUUAAUAACCAACCACAUUGCUCAAAAUGUGAACAGCAGAGUAUAUAUGCAAGCCAUUUUCAUUUUGAAAGUAAUAAGAAAGCCUUGCUAUAUCAGUCCAGACAGAUUCACCAGAUUCAUCACAAAAGGCUAAAAAUCAUGAGGAAUCAGAGAGAUUGAGAAUACUACUUGUAAAAUUUUCCUACUCCAAAAUGUCUAUAUUCGCAAAGUUAAGAACCUCAAAGCACCGAAAUUUGGCACUGGGAAGUUGAUGGAGGUUCAUAAUGAUUACUCUGAGGAUGUUUGUGUGAAGCUUGAGAGGGCAGCUGAAGAAACACCAACAGAAUGAAGUUUUUUAAACAACAAAAGUUCUUAAACAUUCAAAACCCAACCUUGAUUACACACACACACACACACAUAUAAAAGAAGUGAAAACAAAAAAUUUAUCCAUAUAUAUAUCUACAUUCUACAAGCACAAAAAAUAUUGUUAGUUAUAUACUAAAAUUUAUUUAUCAAACCUGAAGCAUGAUUACACUUCCCCAUCUGAAUUCAUCCAUCAAUGUUGGAUGUUUGUCGCCAAUUCUAUCUUCCUCGAGAAUUACACAUAUUACUGUACCAAUGCAAAAAAUGAUAAGGAGUGGUAUGGCAAUUGUUUUUUUCCGGAAUGUGGCAAGAGCAUUCACAAGGUGUGUGGCAAUUGCAAUUACAAUUAGAAGUUAAAAGUUGAUCUCUACUACUACUACACUCCUUUUCUUUAUAGCAACUGCAAUCAGCACAACUUUUACCCUUGCCUUGAUUCUUUUCUUUAUAGCAAUCACAAAUAGUACAAGACCUAGGCCGCCUAUUCUUCUUAGUUGGUGUUUUACAAUUGCAGCUUGAACUAUAAUGAUUCGACGAGGAGGAGGACCGAGAUGAUCCAUCAGAACCGCCUCCCAUUCUACCAUAUGAAGCUGCACUUGCAGGAACUACUUGUAUACAGAGCAGAGACAAGGUCAUAACUGCCAAGAGUAAUACUGAUGAUGCCAACAUUCUAGAAACUAGUUUUCGAAUAUCAUCAAAAAGGUUGCAGAUUGGAUACAAAUGACUGCAUGAAUGAACUAUUGAUCGAUGAUUAUUACUAUUAGAUGAUGAUAUUGAGCAACUUCUAAAACAAGUAUUAUUAUUAU